CUUUGCCUUCCUAUCUUCUUCCAUUCCUCCCUUACUGGGGCUAAAGCAUAGGAUAAAGAUAAGGAGGGCCCAAUUCCAAAAUAAAGAUAAUUUUAGGUAGGUGUCACAGAAUCGGAAGCCCCGACUGUUUACUAAAAACACAAUUCAGAGCAAUGAUUAAAAUCAUAGUAUUCUGGAUGAAAUUUGCCCAAUGCCAUUAAUAUAAGAGAGGUAAUAGGAAACUGUUACUGAUUGAAAGUCUGGUUAAUAGCGGUCUUAACUAUGAGGAUCCAAAGGUAGCAUAAUAGAUUGGCCAUUAAAUGUGGUCUGGAAUCAAUAGUGUAACGAUGGCUUCACUGUCUCUACAACUUGCUCAGUGAAAUUGAAUUACCCGUGCAGAU
rnacentral:rRNA from 2 species